rnacentral:rRNA from 1 species
AGGGAAUCUUCGGCAAUGGGGGCAACCCUGACCGAGCAACGCCGCGUGAGUGAAGAAGGUUUUCGGAUCGUAAAGCUCUGUUGUAAGAGAAGAACGUGUGUGAGAGUGGAAAGUUCACACAGUGACGGUAACUUACCAGAAAGGGACGGCUAACUACGUGCCAGCAGCCGCGGUAAUACGUAGGUCCCGAGCGUUGUCCGGAUUUAUUGGGCGUAAAGCGAGCGCAGGCGGUUUAAUAAGUCUGAAGUUAAAGGCAGUGGCUUAACCAUUGUUCGCUUUGGAAACUGUUAGACUUGAGUGCAGAAGGGGAGAGUGGAAUUCCAUGUGUAGCGGUGAAAUGCGUAGAUAUAUGGAGGAACACCGGUGGCGAAAGCGGCUCUCUGGUCUGUAACUGACGCUGAGGCUCGAAAGCGUGGGGAGCAAAC